UGAGGAAUAUUGCGCAAUGGGGGAAACCCUGACGCAGCGACGCCGCGUGGAUGAUGAAGGCCUUCGGGUCGUAAAAUCCUGUCAGAUGGAAAGAAAUGCCGGAUGUCUAAUAUAUGUCCGGUUUGACGGUACCAUCAAAGGAAGCACCGGCUAACUCCGUGCCAGCAGCCGCGGUAAUACGGAGGGUGCAAGCGUUGUUCGGAAUUACUGGGCGUAAAGCGCGCGUAGGCGGCUUUUUAAGUCAGAUGUGAAAGUCCUCGGCUCAACCGGGGAAGUGCAUUUGAUACUGGAAGGCUUGAGUACUGGAGGGGAUGGUGGAAUUCCCGGUGUAGAGGUGAAAUUCGUAGAUAUCGGGAGGAAUACCGGUGGCGAAGGCGACCAUCUGGCCAGAUACUGACGCUGAGGUGCGAAAGCGUGGGGAGCAA
rnacentral:rRNA from 1 species